rnacentral:rRNA from 1 species
UACAGAGGGGGCAAGCGUUAUUCGGUAUUAUUGGGCGUAAAGGGCGCGUAGGCGGCUUGGCAAGUGGAUGGUGAAAUCCCUCGGCUUAACCGAGGAACUGCCGUCCAAACUGCUUCGCUUGAGACCGGGAGAGGUGAGUGGAAUUCCCAGUGUAGCGGUGAAAUGCGUAGAUAUUGGGAGGAACACCAGUGGCGAAGGCGGCUCACUGGACCGGUACUGACGCUGAUGCGCGAAAGCGUGGGGAGCAAACGGG